UCGUCCUAUUGUUUAUCCUGGUCUCCGGAAUUCGGAUAUUCUCUACGGAAAGAGGUGCUGCUCCUUUUGAGGAAGGUUUCGUGAAUGUUUUGUAUUCGCAUGAUGCUACAGGCAACUAACGAUAUCGCCAUCCAGUGCAAUGUGUCCGGAGGCCUUUGCUUCAUCCUGACAUAUCCACUCCUGCGGCCGAUGAUGUACUGGCCAUGGCAAAGCCAUGCUGAUGGAUGAUGCUUUGUAUCAGAAUGCAGCAAGGUAUGAAAACGUUUCUAUGCACCGAUCUCCAAGACCAAACAGACGCAUCUAUUCCGAUGCGAAAAAGGGAACCGAUGAAAGAUCGCUCAGAACCCCUUUAGCUUUCGCAUCGGUUGCUAAAGACGACUGUGAAUCAAGGAUCAUUAUCCUUCUUCCAUGUGGCUGAUGAUCACAGUUUGCUCUGGUCGUGGAUUACCUCCUGUACCGCAUCGUUGCUGGCAAUGCUCUGUCACGAAUUGAGUUUUUCGUGGAUUUGCGCGGAAAAAACAAAUCGUCCUGAUUGUGCUGUAACGUGUGUUUCGCCUUUUUGAUCUUGGGGCAAUUAAAGACUUCCAACGAAAAAAUAGUUUUCGAGGAAUCCUUUGUCAGGACUCUGGAAUUUGUUCUCAAGCAACUUAUUUUAGAAAAUGUUGCCAAAGCUGCCUCAAUUAUGAUACAUUUUUUUCAAAGAUACAAGAACUUCAUCAUUCUUGAGUACCUAUUAAAUGAUGCAAUAAUAGGUGUGUUUUUCCAUUCUGGAUGAAAACUAAUUC